rnacentral:rRNA from 1 species
CUGUGCCGGAGCUAACGCGUUAAAUAUGCCGCCUGGGGAGUACAGUCGCAAGGCUGAAACUCAAAGGAAUUGACGGGGGCCCGCACAAGNCGGUGGAGCAUGUGGUUCAAUUCGACGCAACGCGAAGAACCUUACCUGGGCUCGAACGGCUCACGAACGUCCCUUGGAAANCAGGGAUUUCCCGCCAAGGGACGGGAGUCGAGGUGCUGCAUGGCUGUCGUCAGCUCGUGUCGUGAGAUGUUGGGUUAAGUCCCGCAACGAGCGCAACCCUUGUCCUGUGUUGCCAUCAUUCAGUUGGGAACUCGCAGGAGACCGCCAGCGAUAAGCUGGAGGAAGGUGGGGAUGACGUCAAGUCCUCAUGGCCUUUAUGUCCCAGGGCUACACACGUGCUACAAUGGCCGGUACAAUGCGCUGCUAAGUCGCAAGACGGAGCCAAUCGCAAAAAACCGGUCUCAGUUCGGAUUGCAGGCUGCAACUCGCCUGCAUGAAGCUGGAAUCGCUAGUAAUGGCAUAUCAGAACGAUGCCGUGAAUACGUUCCCGGGCCUUGUACACACCGCCCGUCACAUCACGAAAGUGGAUUGUACUAGAAGUCCGCAGGCUGACCCGCAAGGGGAGCAGCGGCCCAAGGUAUGAUUCAUGAUUGGGGUGAAGUCGUAACCAAGGUACC